rnacentral:tRNA from 1 species
GGGGACGUAGCCCAACGGCAGAGGCAGGGCGCUUAAACCGCCUCCAGUAGGGGUUCGACUCCCCUCGUCCCCACCG